ensembl:lncRNA
GUUACUUUUUGUUGAGCUCACUAAACUUCCGCUUUCCUUUCUCUUCACAAGAAUUUUCUUAGAAUUAGAGACAACGCCGAGAAGAGGAAACCUUUGCAACCCUUUCUCCCAGAAGAAUGUAUUUUUUGGUGAUCCUGGCUUUUCUAGGACGAAUUACGGGUGAGACUUUCUUUCGUCAUUAUGAAAAUGGAAAUUUCACACUUAAGUGCAAUGGAACAGUGGCUAAUGAGAAGGAAACAAUUUGGUAUGAAGCUGAAGAAUCUCUGCAAGAAUUCCAAGUAAUCAACUACUGCAGUAAUCAACAGCCCAAAGUAAUCAAUGGACCAAACAAAUGCUCUGAUAAAACAAAGUGUACAAACCAAUUAUCAACUUCUGAUUCCAAAGGUGGUGGGGUAUUUGCAUGCGAGCAAUUUAUAAAUACUGGAACGUCACAGACUUGCCCACUUUUUACCAGUGUGACUCACUGCAGACAUUAUAACUUUUUUAUUGUGGUGAUAAUAAACAUGACCGCAGAUAAGGAGACAUUUGAGACCAUUCCGUCAAAAUCACACGAUAAUCAUUUAGUAGAAGAAGAAAGUAACAUCACUCUCUCUUGUGAAUUUCAAAUGAAGCAACCAAAACAAACAUUUGUUAUAUAUUGGAUCAAAUAUACAGAAACAAGCAAAUGCCUGUUUUCUGCUGCGAGAGAGCAGUAUACUUUGUCGUAUAAUACACAUUGCUGUAUUGAUGAGAUGAUCGAAGGACGACUAGUGAACUAUACAAGCUUAGAUUCAGAAGAGAAACAUGUAGUCCAUAAUAUGACCAUCUUGAAUGUUACUGACUCUGACAGUGGAACUUAUUUAUGUGUUGUAAAUUCCUGGGCAAGAAAUAAACAUGUGUGGAAGAUUGCAAAUAACCUUUCUAUAGAAGUGAGGAAUCAAGCCAUUCCAUCCUCUGCUUCUGUGACAUUGUAUGCCGCCACAGGAUUGAUCGUAGGGAUUAUUAUCAUCAGUGGGAUAGCGUGGUUGAUCUAUAAAAAGAAAAUCAAAUCAAAAGGCAAGCCACCUGCACAACUUCCCAGAGCUCAGGCUGCUCUUGAAAUUUCUGGAGAUGAAUGUUCCCCGUAUGCAGUGAGCAGCAGCAAAGACUUUCAAAGAAAUGAAGUGUUGUAUUCACUUGCAACGAGCCCAUAUGAGGACCCAAAUGCAGCCUAUUGUACAGUGGGUAACACUGCAACAUCUGGCAAGGGGACAGGAGAUGAAAUUCAUACAGUCUAUGCAGUGGUGCCACAAUAGCUGUUCCUGUAAGUGACUUGUAAGAGGAAGUGUUAUUUUUGACAAAUGACAUUGCAAAUAGAACCACCCAGGUUAGUCACACUAGUAUAACUAAUAGGGGCUAUAUGAGUACAGUAACUCUUUGCUUAAAUUGUAGUUAUGUUCCUGAAAAAUGCUAUUUUAACUGAAAUGAUGUUAAGCAAAUCCAAUUUCCCCAGAAGAAUUAAUGUAAACAGGAGGGGGAUAGGUUCCAGGGAUUUUUUUUUCACCAGACAAAAGACUCUCUCUCUCUCUCUGUAUAUGUACACACACAGUAUAAGUUUUAAUCAGUUUAAGACUGUACACAGCAAUGAUAAUUGUGAAGCUUUGUUGAGGUGGUGCAGUCAGAGGGUGGAAGAGGGAGGGAUAUUUCCCAGGGAAUGUCUUACUGCUAAAUGAUGAACUAGUGCUUGGCUGGGCCCUCAAGGGUUAACACGUUGUUAAUGUAGCCUCACACUCUACGAGGGAGCAUGGAUGGAAGGAGGGGAGACAGCAUGGCAGAGAGAAACAGAGACACACACCGUGUGUGUGUGUGUGUGAGAGAGAGAGAGAGAGAAAGACGCACACAUUGCCCCUUUAAGUACGCUGACACCACUCUAAGUACAUUGCUAUUUUAUGUAGAUCAGCAAGUUGAGACAGUAGCUGCUGCCUGCAAGCUCCCUCUAUCUUGAGCCCUGUCAUGUGUCCCCUCUGCUCUGUGGAGAUGAGGUACAGGAGUGGAGGGAGGGGGGCACCCUGACAUUAGCACCCCUCUUCAUCUCCCUCUACCCCCUGCACAGCAAGGAGGAGGCUCCCAGGAGCAGCUCCAAGGCAGAAGGCAGUAGCAGCACACUGCAGUGUAGGGGAGGGAUACCAGAACUGCCCAGCAAUUGAUAGCCUGCUGGGUGGCUGCUGCUCAGGGAACUUAGGGGAGCUGAUAGGGGAGCUGCUGGUCCACCCUGAUUCCAAGCCCCCACCAGCUAGCUCCAAUGGGCUGCUCUUU